rnacentral:lncRNA from 1 species
GGCUCACCUUGUAUCUUUACAACACUAGAUAAAUCCUAAAAUUCACUCCCAAGAUUAAUAGCAUUCUUCUCUCAUUCUUUAUUUUAUGGGAUAUUCUUUAAUUAAUGUAAUGUUAAGAUUAAUAACAUACUUCUCUCAUUAUUGAUUCUAUGGGAUAUUCUUUAAUUAAUGUGGUGUUGUUAUUUUGAACAAGAUGGUGACCCA